rnacentral:rRNA from 1 species
UAGCUUGUUGGCGGGGUAACGGCCCACCAAGGCGACGAUCAGUAGGGGUUCUGAGAGGAAGGUCCCCCACAUUGGAACUGAGACACGGUCCAAACUCCUACGGGAGGCAGCAGUGAGGAAUAUUGGUCAAUGGGCGAGAGCCUGAACCAGCCAAGUAGCGUGCAGGAUGACGGCCCUAUGGGUUGUAAACUGCUUUUAUAAGGGAAUAAAGUGAGCCACGUGUGGUUUUUUGCAUGUACCUUAUGAAUAAGGACCGGCUAAUUCCGUGCCAGCAGCCGCGGUAAUACGGAAGGUCCGGGCGUUAUCCGGAUUUAUUGGGUUUAAAGGGAGCGUAGGCCGGAGAUUAAGCGUGUUGUGAAAUGUAGAUGCUCAACAUCUGCACUGCAGCGCGAACUGGUUUCCUUGAGUACGCAUAAAGUGGGCGGAAUUCGUGGUGUAGCGGUGAAAUGCUUAGAUAUCACGAAGAACUCCGAUUGCGAAGGCAGCUCACUGGGGCGCAACUGACGCUGAAGCUCGAAAGUGCGGGUAUCGAACAGGAUUAGAUACCCUGGUAGUCCGCGCGGUAAACGAUGGAUGCCCGCUGUUGGGCCAA